rnacentral:rRNA from 1 species
ACUCAAAUGAAUUGACGGGGGCUCACACAAGCGGUGGAGGAUGUGGCUUAAUUCGAGGCUACGCGAAGAACCUUAUCCUAGUCUUGACAUGCACGGAUUAACCUCCUGAAAGGGAGGCCACAGCCGCAAGGCUGGAACGUGCACAGGUGCUGCAUGGCUGUCGUCAGCUCGUGCUGUGAAGUGUCGGGUUAAGUCCCUUAACGAGCGAAACCCUUGUCGCUAGUUGCCAGCGAGUCAUGUCGGGGACUCUAGCGAGACCGCCGGCGUUAAGCCGGAGGAAGGCGGGGAUGACGUCAAGUCCUCAUGGCCUUUAUGACUAGGGCUGCACACGUCCUACAAUGGCAUGCACAAAGGGACGCUAAGUCGCGAGACCAAGCAAAUCCCAAAAAACAUGCCCCAGUUCGGAUUGCAGGCUGCAACUCGCCUGCAUGAAGCCGGAAUCGCUAGUAAUCGCGGGUCAGCAUACCGCGGUGAAUGUGUUCCUGAGCCUUGUACACACCGCCCGU